CCUACGGGAGGCAGCAGUGGGGAAUAUUGCACAAUGGGGGAAACCCUGAUGCAGCCACGCCGCGUGAGUGAAGAAGUCAUUCGUUAUUGUAAGCUCUAUCAGCAGGGAAGAAAAUGACGGUACCUGAGUAAGAAGCCCCGGCUAACUACGUGCCAGCAGCCGCGGUAAUGCGGAGGGGGCAAGCGUUAUCCGGAGUUACUGGGUGUAAAGGGAGCGUAGAGGGGAGUGCAAGUCUGGAGUGAAAGGCGGGGGCUCAACCCCCGGACUGCUCUGGAAACUGUACGGCUUGAGUGCAGGAGAGGUAAGUGGAAUUCCUAGUGUAGCGGUGAAAUGCGUAGAUAUUAGGAGGAACACCAGUGGCGAAGGCAGCUUACUGGACUGUGACUGACGUUGAGGCUCGAAAGCGUGGGGAGCAAACAGGAUUAGAUACCCGAGUAGUC
rnacentral:rRNA from 1 species